GAGCGUGAGAAGAAGGAAAAGGAGGAGGAGCACAAGAGGAAGGAGGAGAAGGAGAAGGCGUUGGAGGAAAAGAAGAAGAAGGAUGAGGAGGAUAGGAAGAGGAGGAAGGAGGAGUGGAUAAAGAAGACGGCUCAGGACAAGCACAAGUACAAAGAGGACGAGAAGAAGAGGAACAUGGAGAAGAGGAAGGAGAGGAAGGAGAGGAAGGAGAAGGAGGACGAGGAGAGGAGGAACCAGGCGGAGGAGAGGAGGAACCAGGCGGAGGAGAGGAGGAACCAGGCGGAGGAGUGGAAAAGGGCUUUUGAUUAUGAGGAGGAGAUGGAAUCCACAAUGGAGUAUCUCAAAAAUCAGAUGGUUAUAGAGCAGGAUUUUUUGCAUGGCUGUCGUCGCAUGUGGGAACUUGAUCGGGGCACUGAGAUUGGGCGGUGCGGUGCCUUCGAAGAUAAAACCUUAUUGAGCCCUAUGUUCUUUACACACUACACACCCUGUACCAUCCCAUCAUCUGCUGCGGUCACUGGGAGCACCUUGCAAAUCUACUCCUUCAGAAUUCUUGAACUAAAAGGCAACUUGAACUGGCCACUCUAUGUCUACGGCCUGAUCGCUGCUCGAGACACCGUGGACCGCAAUCGCAACAUUCUCUUCAACCGGUCGAUGUUUAAAUGUCAACUACUCACCCAAAAUGAUCCUUUUUUACGCUUGAGCGGCCCCUCUCGUGCAAUUGUAGCUCUAGACCCCGUUGACUUUGAAGUUGAACUAAAACUACAUGACGGGGUGGGAUGGGAGUCCCAAGAUAGACCAUUGAUGAAUGUUAGCAACCAUUAUGAUGUUACUGAUCGUACCAUUCUCUUCCACAGCUGCUGGUGUACAGCAGAGUUAAGCCUUCAGCGACUUGCUACAACGGUCCAGGCCACUAUUGUUGGUGUUCGCGUGGUUGAAGGGGGGUGGCCUUUUAAAUAUGGAGGUCGAGUUGCUUGCUCCCAGUCUGCUGCAGAGGUUAUUGAACCCACAUCUAUGGAAGUUGUGUUGCUGGAUUGUCAUGGUCAAGGAAUGCCUGUUGGACCAAAUGGUUACCUUCAGUUGUCAAGGAAUGUUGUUUCAGUAGAAUUACAAGGAGAAUUGAAAGUUGUCAUACAAGCUUACUUGGAAUCUGGUCGUAUUGAUGACCAUGAGGGUCAUGUAUACUUCCCUCCCAAACAUUGUCAAACAAGUACACUUGAAUGCUUCAUUGGCGACUUCAAGAUGGAGAUAACCGUUGCUUGGUCCCGCCUGGUCCGAGACAGAAUGGAUGUGCUG
rnacentral:rRNA from 1 species